UCUUUCCAAACAUCGUCAACACUCUUUCCGUUGUUAACGCUGUUCCGAUCUCCGAUACUCCGAUCAACAUCAAUCGCCAUCUCGAAGGGCUUUGAAUCAGACGCGAAAGUGUAAUCGUUGACUCCUCCGCCGUAAGCGAAACUGAUUCUGGAGUGAUCGGCGUGAGGAUUUGGUCGGAGAUGGUGCGAUGAUCUUAUAGAAGGGGAAGAUGAAGCAGAAGAAGAAUUACGGCGAGACAAGUCGGAAUUGGAAGAAGACAUCAACUUGAAGGACGCCAUUUCCGGAGCUCACUGGAAUUGGAACGAAUUUUUAUCUAUCUGGGUUUUGUCAAAGAGAAAGAACAAUCGGAAAUGGUGGAUUUUCUUCGAACCAGAGAUCGAGAGAGAUCUUUC